rnacentral:lncRNA from 1 species
CCUAGCUGCUUUCAUCAUGUACGCUAAGUUCAUCUCGCUUAAUGAAUGAAGCAGAUAACUCGCUACCUCUUUCUCAAAAAAAUAUAUAUAUUUUAUCUUUUUAAUUAAAAUUUAAUUUCAUUUUGUGACUUUAAUUUUUAAUUAAAAUUUAAAUUUAAAUUUAGAAACUAAAUAUUUAAUUAUAGAUUUUGAUUUAGAAAUCAAAUUAAAAUAUAAAUUCCAUCAAACAUUUUGAAUUUGAUCUAUAAAUUUAAAUUUGAAUUUAAUUAUAAGUCUGAAUUUGAAUCAAAUCAGAAAUUAGUUUUAUAUUUUGAAUUGUCCUCUCAAUUUUAAAUUUUUAAAAAUUACAUUUAAAAAUUUUGGCUUAUCAUUUUAAUAUUUUGAUGUAAAUUUUCAAUAUUUAACUUUUAGUUUGAAUUUAAAUUAUAAAUUUAAUUUUAUAUUUUGAUGCGCAAUUUUAAUUUUAAAUUAUUUUUAUACUUUAUAUUUUAUUUAUAUUUUAUUUUAAUAAUCAAAACUUUUUAAAUAUUGAAAGUAUGAAUCAACUAUACCGAUUCCGAUUGUUAUUCUGAAUCAAACAUAUUGGAGGUUUUAUUAUUUCGUUUUCAAUUCCUAUCUACUGAGACUCUCAAUUCCAUUUUUUACUUUAAAUCAAACGUGCCCUAUAGAGUUAUUUGAGAAAAAAAAAUGAUUAGAACGAUUCAAAAAUACAUUAUACUCAACUAAUUUCAACACGAUUUUUUUUUUCCUGCAGUAGAAUCAAGAACGCGAAAUUGAAGCUUCUGUUUUAUAAACUUAAAACAUCCUUUCUCUGCUCCCCUGCUUCAGAAUCCUAUUUUUUUCAACAAAUAUUAUACUACCACUAAAUUGUUAUUAUUUCUCUAUCAAUAAUUUUUGUUAUUACGUACCGAUCGUUUCUAGCGCAAGUGGCAAAGAAUUUGAUAGUUAAUAUCUGAGGUUUCAAAUUCGAAUCCUAAUAUUUAUUUCUAAAUAGAAAAAAACGAAACGUGUAAUAUACUACCUAUCUCUCAAAAAAAAAAAAAUUUUUGUUAUUAAAAAUCACUGUAACCAAAA